rnacentral:ncRNA from 12 species
GGUUGAACAGGUUUUAUAGCUUGCUUCAAGAAUUUUUGGCUUCCAGGGUGGGAAGCU